CGUCUGGGAGCCCGGGCAGGAGCGCGGGGUUUGGCUACUGUGGCUUGUUGCGCUCCCCACUGGGGGCCGAUUCCGUUCGCCUCCUUCGCCCGCAGAACUGCGAGGAUCUGGACUGCAGGCGCCGCAGCCGCUAUCACCCGGAGCACCGAAGUCGGAGUCCCAGGACCUGCGGCCGAAACGAGAGAGCGGGAGGCGCACGGCGCCCCCACGGCUUCACGCGCUCCAGCCCCUCCGAGCCGCAGUCGCCAAUGUUGCCCUCUUUACUUCCGCACCGCGGUGGGGGCUGCCGAAGUUGCCACAGUUCAUCCCCGCCGAGUCGAAAAGCCGCCGAGCCCUCGCGGAUGAAAAAGAAAGUGAACAAGCAGGUAAAUUCCAGCUCAAGAAGUCUACUGCACAAUCCAGAAGUUGAGCUGAAUGAUUAAGAGGUAAACUGAUGUCAGCUGACUCCAACUCAGAUUCGGCUAAGACCCAAAGGAAAUCUGUCUGCCUUGACUCUGUAUUUUCACUAACAGAGUCCACGUGUUUUUCCUUCCACCCGGAGCGUGUUGCAUUUAAAGCUAACAUUAAAAUCACACAUCUUGAAGAGAAUAGGAUUUCCCAAGUCUUGUUGGGCCUUGUGGACAAGGACACCAUACACCAUGUUGUAUUAUAAGAGCCAUUUCCUGUCUCUCCUCUGCAGUCUUUAAGUACACCUCAGCAGGAACAGCCUUGAGUUGCUUUGGACUGUUGUUUCCAAGGCCCUUUUAUUGAUUUCAGAAAGCCC
rnacentral:lncRNA from 1 species